UACGGAGGGUGCAAGCGUUAAUCGGAAUUACUGGGCGUAAAGCGUGCGUAGGCGGCUCUUUAAGUCGGAUGUGAAAUCCCCGGGCUCAACCUGGGAACUGCAUCCGAUACUGGGGAGCUAGAAUUUGGGAGAGGGAAGUGGAAUUUCCGGUGUAGCGGUGAAAUGCAUAGAGAUCGGAAGGAACAUCAGUGGCGAAGGCGACUUCCUGGACCAAAAUUGACGCUGAGGCACGAAAGCGUGGGUAGCAAACAGGAUUAGAUACCCUGGUAGUCCACGCCGUAAACGAUGUCAACUAGCCGUCGGCUCCAACUAAGGGGUCGGUGGUGCAGCUAACGCAUUAAGUUGACCGCCUGGGGAGUACGCGCGCAAGCGUAAA
rnacentral:rRNA from 1 species